ensembl:lncRNA
GUUACAUUAAACUAACAUGUAUCAUGCUACAUUAAACUAACAUGUAUCAUGGUACAUUAAACUAACAUGUAUCAGGGUUAUGCUGAAUGAUAGUGACUGCUGUCCUGACAUGUUGUUGUAUUGUUUAUCUCUUUAUAGAAAAGGCUAAUCUAAUACGUGAGAAGCAAAAGAAAAAACGGAAACUGGAUAGGGAGUUAACUGAAUUGAUUGAUCAACUUAUGGAGGAAACAAAGGAACAGAAGAUGAAGUUAACUGUACCUACUACUGACUGUCCUGAACCAACCAGGGACCAACAAGAACAUACCACAACUACCCCUGAUGCAACUAUGGAUGAUCAUGAUGGUGACCAGAGUCUGGGUCCAGCCCCUCCCUUAAGCCCCACACAAGAUGGAUCUGUGUCAGUCUCAGUCCAUCAGGAGGACCAUCAGCCUGUCCCCAUCAAGAGAGACCAUGGAGCCUCCCAGUCCACCCUCCUCAGUCUGGGUCCCCUCCCCUCCCCUCCCGGUCCACCCUCC